rnacentral:rRNA from 1 species
AGCGAACGCUGGCGGCAGGCUUAACACAUGCAAGUCGAGCGGGCAUCUUCGGAUGUCAGCGGCAGACGGGUGAGUAACACGUGGGAACGUACCCUUCGGUUCGGAACAACUCUGGGAAACUGGAGCUAAUACCGGAUACGCCCUUAUGGGGAAAGGUUUAUUGCCGUAGGAUCGGCCCGCGUCUGAUUAGCUAGUUGGUGGGGUAACGGCCUACCAAGGCGACGAUCAGUAGCUGGUCUGAGAGGAUGAUCAGCCACACUGGGACUGAGACACGGCCCAGACUCCUACGGGAGGCAGCAGUGGGGAAUAUUGGACAAUGGGCGCAAGCCUGAUCCAGCCAUGCCGCGUGAGUGAUGAAGGCCUUAGGGUUGUAAAGCUCUUUUGUCCGGGACGAUAAUGACGGUACCGGAAGAAUAAGCCCCGGCUAACUUCGUG